GGACAGCCUGGUGUAGGAGGCGCCGGGGGAUGGAAUAAUGGACCGAUUGGAGGUCAGCCCGGUGUAGGAGGCCCGGAAGGAUGGAAGUAUGGACCGCUUGGCGGACCGCCCGGCUUUCCUACCCCGGUUCCUUCGGGAGGAUGGAAUAAUGGACCGACCAACACCAACCAAGACAUGGCUAAGAAGGCGGACUCGGAGAAGCUGACGGUGUGCACAUCGGGGUCUUCGAGUCCUCACGAGGUACACUUCGCGCUGUCGCUGGUGUCUCUGCUGCGCGCGCAGCCGCUGCCCGCCAGGCUUCAGAAGGAAGCUGACAUCUUGAGAGGCUUUGCGACGGUAGAUCCACCAGGGUUUAACAGGCCUUUUGAAUCACCAGGCCUCGACUGGUAGGGCGUGGUAUGAUCAUACUAAUACCUAAGACAAACAUUGGCAAUCCGUUUACAAUUGAGAUGUAUAAAUAUAAA